rnacentral:rRNA from 1 species
GACGAAGGGGGCUAGCGUUACUCGGAAUUACUGGGCGUAAAGCGUGCGCAGGCGGUUGGGCAAGACAGAUGUGAAAUCCCCGGGCUCAACCUGGGAAUUGCAUUUGUGACUGUACGGCUAGAGUGUGUCAGAGGGGGGUAGAAUUCCACGUGUAGCAGUGAAAUGCGUAGAGAUGUGGAGGAAUACCGAUGGCGAAGGCAGCCCCCUGGGAUAACACUGACGCUCAUGCACGAAAGCGUGGGGAGCAAACAGG